rnacentral:lncRNA from 1 species
AGCCAAUGGGAGCGGAGAGGCUCACCCCCCGUCAUUUGCAUGCGGCGGGAGAGGCGGGCGGCGCGGCCAAUGGGCGGCGGAGGGGGGCGGGGCCUGCCCCCCACGAGGGCGCCGCGGCGGAGCGGUGGGGAGCGGCGGACGCCGGGCAGGGGUGAGGCGGCGAGCGGCUCCGGGGAGCCCAGGCUGGCUCCAUGUAUCCCGAAUCCACCACUGACUCCCCGGCGCGACUCUCGCUGCGGCAGACGGGCUCCCCAGGGAUGAUUUACAGCGCGAGGUACGGGAGCCCCAAGCGCCAGCUCCAGUUCUACAGGUAACCCAGCCCUUUCCCCUCCCCAAAAUCCACUCCCCCCCCCGGGGCCAGCAGAUGCGGUCG